rnacentral:misc_RNA from 1 species
GGAAGCCCACAGCUUCUGGGCAGGGACCUCUUGGUUGUUCUUUCAGAUUCAGGGAAGCUGUCAGUUCUCAGAUUUUGCAAUGAAAUGCAUAGGUUUUUCGCAGUAACACAUGUUCAACUUUCGUCUCCUGGAAAUCCUACGGAUCAAAUUGGAAGAAUGUUAGCCGUUGAUUCCAAUGGUUGUUUUAUUGCAGCUAGUGCAUAUGAAGACAGUUUGGCGCUUUUCUCCCGCUCUGCUUCAGUUGGCAGUGAUAUAUUUGAUAAGAGAAUCUUUUGUCCCACUGACAAGCAAGGGAAGAUCAAGACUGCGAAUGGUUUCACUAGUAUCUGCGGUACCAU